rnacentral:rRNA from 1 species
AGGUGUGGGGCAGCUACCAUGCAGUCGAGCGGGGAGAUGUAGCUUGCUACAUUUCCUAGCGGCGGACGGGUGAGUAAUGCUUAGGAAUCUGCCUAUUAGUGGGGGACAACAUUCCGAAAGGAAUGCUAAUACCCCAUACGCCCUACGGGGGAAAGCAGGGGAUCUUCGGACCUUGCGCUAAUAGAUGAGCCUAAGUCAGAUUAGCUAGUUGGUGGGGUAAAGGCCUACCAAGGCGACGAUCUGUAGCGGGUCUGAGAGGAUGAUCCGCCACACUGGGACUGAGACACGGCCCAGACUCCUACGGGAGGCAGCAGUGGGGAAUAUUGGACAAUGGGCGAAAGCCUGAUCCAGCCAUGCCGCGUGUGUGAAGAGGGCCUUUUGGUUGUAAAGCACUUUAAGCGAGGAGGAGGCUACUUGGAUUAAUACUCUAGGAUAGUGGACGUUACUCGCAGAAUAAGCACCGGCUAACUCUGUGCCAGCAGCCGCGGUAAUACAGAGGGUGCGAGCGUUAAUCGGAUUUACUGGGCGUAAAGCGUGCGUAGGCGGCUUCUUAAGUCGGAUGUGAAAUCCCUGAGCUUAACUUAGGAAUUGCAUACGAUACCGGGAAGCUAGAGUAUGGGAGAGGAUGGUAGAAUUCCAGGUGUAGCGGUGAAAUGCGUAGAGAUCUGGAGGAAUACCGAUGGCGAAGGCAGCCAUCUGGCCUAAUACUGACGCUGAGGUACGAAAGCAUGGGGAGCAAACAGGAUUAGAUACCCUGGUAGUCCAUGCCGCAAACGAUGUCUACUAGCCGUUGGGGCCUUUGAGGCUUUAGUGGCGCAGCUAACGUGAUAAGUAGACCGCCUGGGGAGUACGGUCGCAAGACUAAAACUCAAAUGAAUUGACGGGGGCCCGCACAAGCGGUGGAGCAUGUGGUUUAUUCGAUGCAACGCGAGACCUUACCUGGUCUUGACUAGUAAGAACUUUCCAGAGAUGGAUUGGUGCCUUCGGGAACUUACAUAACAGGUGCU